GACGAACGCUGGCGGCGUGCCUAAUACAUGCCAGUAGAACGCACAGUUUAUACCGUAGCUUGCUACACCAUAGACUGUGAGUUGCGAACGGGUGAGUAACGCGUAGGUAACCUGCCUGGUAGCGGGGGAUAACUAUUGGAAACGAUAGCUAAUACCGCAUAAUAUUAAUUAUUGCAUGAUAAUUAAUUGAAAGGUGCAAUUGCACCACUACCAGAUGGACCUGCGUUGUAUUAGCUAGUAGGUGAGGUAACGGCUCACCUAGGCGACGAUACAUAGCCGACCUGAGAGGGUGAUCGGCCACACUGGGACUGAGACACGGCCCAGACUCCUACGGGAGGCAGCAGUAGGGAAUCUUCGGCAAUGGACGAAAGUCUGACCGAGCAACGCCGCGUGAGUGAAGAAGGUUUUCGGAUCGUAAAGCUCUGUUGUAAGAGAAGAACGGGUGUGAGAGUGGAAAGUUCACACUGUGACGGUAUCUUACCAGAAAGGGACGGCUAACUACGUG
rnacentral:rRNA from 1 species